AUUGAACGCUGGCGGCAGGCCUAACACAUGCAAGUCGAACGAGUGGCGGACGGGUGAGUAAUGUCUGGGAAACUGCCCGAUGGAGGGGGAUAACUACUGGAAACGGUAGCUAAUACCGCAUACCAUCGGAUGUGCCCCGAUGGGAUUAGCUAGGAGGUGGGGUAACGUCUGACCUAGGCGACGAACCCUAGCUGGUCUGAGAGGAUGUCCAGCCACACGGGAACUGAGGCACGGUCCAGACUCCUAAGGGCGGCAGCAGUGGGGAAUAUUGCACAAUGGGCGCAAGCCUGAUGCAGCCAUGCCGCGUGUAUGAAGAAGGCCUUCGGGUUGUAAAGUACUUUCAGCGGGGAGGCGUUACCCGCAGAAGAAGCACCGGCUAACUCCGUGCCAGCAGCCGCGGUAAUAC
rnacentral:rRNA from 1 species